GUUCAGCUGACGAGUCCCAAAUAGGACGAAACGCGCGUCCUGGAU
rfam:Schistosoma rodhaini strain Burundi genome assembly, scaffold: SROB_scaffold0026867